AAGCAGUGGGCAGGCCACAUCACUAGGGCCACCCAGAACUGGCUCAACUCCCAUCAAACCAAGUUGCCGGUGGAGAUCACCCAGCUCGUCAUGAGAGCACUUUUUCAACGCAUUCAUAUGUCAUCCAUAUCCACUUUCUGCGCCUACCAUGGUGACCACGGGUAACGGGGAAUCAGGGUUCGAUUCCGAAGAGGGAGCCUAAGAAACAGCUACCACAUGUGAGGAAGGCA